AUUGAACGCUGGCGGCAGGCUUAACACAUGCAAGUCGAGCGGAAACGAAGGGUGCUUGCACCCAGGCGUCGAGCGGCGGACGGGUGAGUAACGCGUAGGAAUCUACCUGGCAGUGGGGGAUAGCCCGGAGAAAUCCGGAUUAAUACCGCAUACACUCUACGGAGUAAAGAAGGCCUCUCCUUGGAAGCUUUUGCUGUUAGAUGAGCCUGCGUCGGAUUAGCUAGUUGGUGGGGUAAAGGCCUACCAAGGCGACGAUCCGUAGCUGGUCUGAGAGGAUGAUCAGCCACACUGGGACUGAGACACGGCCCAGACUCCUACGGGAGGCAGCAGUGGGGAAUAUUGGACAAUGGGCGCAAGCCUGAUCCAGCCAUGCCGCGUGUGUGAAGAAGGCCUUAGGGUUGUAAAGCACUUUAAGCAGGGAGGAAGGCCUUGUAGUUAAUACCUGCAAGGAUUGACGUUACCUGCAGAAUAAGCACCGGCUAAUUUCGUGCCAGCAGCCGCGGUAAUACGAAAGGUGCGAGCGUUAAUCGGAAUUACUGGGCGUAAAGCGCGCGUAGGUGGUUUGGUAAGUUGGGUGUGAAAGCCCCGGGCUCAACCUGGGAACUGCAUUCAAAACUGCCAGGCUAGAGUACAGUAGAGAGGGGUAGAAUUUCAGGUGUAGCGGUGGAAUGCGUAGAUAUCUGAAGGAAUACCGGUGGCGAAGGCGGCCCCUUGGACUGAUACUGACACUGAGGUGCGAAAGCGUGGGUAGCAAACAGGAUUAGAUACCCUGGUAGUCCACGCCGUAAACGAUGAGAACUAGCUGUCGGGGCGCUUGGCGUUUCGGUGGCGCAGCUAACGCGUUAAGUUCUCCGCCUGGGGAGUACGGCCGCAAGGUUAAAACUCAAAGAAAUUGACGGGGGCCUGCACAAGCGGUGGAGCAUGUGGUUUAAUUCGAAGCAACGCGCAGAACCUUACCAGCGUUUGACAUGCCAGGACGGUUUCCAGAGAUGGAUUCCUCCCCUUACGGGGCCUGGACACAGGUGCUGCAUGGCUGUCGUCAGCUCGUGUCGUGAGAUGUUGGGUUAAGUCCCGCAACGAGCGCAACCCUCGUCUCUAGUUGCUACCAUUUAGUUGGGCACUCUAGAGAAACCGCCGGUGAUAAGCCGGAGGAAGGUGGGGAUGACGUCAAGUCCUCAUGGCCCUUACGCGCUGGGCUACACACGUGCUACAAUGGCGGUGACAGUGAGCAGCGACCCCGCGAGGGUGAGCUAAUCUCCAAAAGCCGUCUCAGUUCGGAUUGUUCUCUGCAACUCGAGAGCAUGAAGGCGGAAUCGCUAGUAAUCGCGGAUCAGCAUGCCGCGGUGAAUACGUUCCCAGGCC
rnacentral:rRNA from 1 species